rnacentral:rRNA from 1 species
UGGGGGAUAUUGUACAAUGGGCGAAAGCCUGAUGCAGCGACGCCGCGUGGGGGAUGAAGGCCUUCGGGUUGUAAACUUCUUUUGCUCUGAACAAGGCAUGCUAAUGGGUGUGUUGAGUGUAGGGGUUGAUUAGCGCCGGCUAACUACGUGCCAGCAGCCGCGGUAAUACGUAGGGCGCGAGCGUUGUCCGGAAUUAUUGGGCGUAAAGGGCUUGUAGGUGGCUGGUUGCGUCUGUCGUGAAAGCUCAUGGCUUAACUGUGGGUUUGCGGUGGGUACGGGCUGGCUUGAGUGCAGUAGGGGAGGCUGGAAUUCCUGGUGUAGCGGUGGAAUGCGCAGAUAUCAGGAGGAAUACCGGUGGCGAAGGCGGGUCUCUGGGCUGUUACUGACACUGAGGAGCGAAAGCAUGGGGAGCGAACAGG